rnacentral:rRNA from 1 species
AGGAUCAUUACCGAGUUUUCGGGCUUCGGCUCGACUCUCCCACCCUUUGUGAACGUACCUCUGUUGCUUUGGCGGCUCCGGCCGCCAAAGGACCUUCAAACUCCAGUCAGUAAACGCAGACGUCUGAUAAACAAGUUAAUAAACUAAAACUUUCAACAACGGAUCUCUUGGUUCUGGCAUCGAUGAAGAACGCAGCGAAAUGCGAUAAGUAAUGUGAAUUGCAGAAUUCAGUGAAUCAUCGAAUCUUUGAACGCACAUUGCGCCCCUUGGUAUUCCGGGGGGCAUGCCUGUUCGAGCGUCAUUACAACCCUCAAGCUCUGCUUGGAAUUGGGCACCGUCCUCAUUGCGGACGCGCCUCAAAGACCUCGGCGGUGGCUGUUCAGCCCUCAAGCGUAGUAGAAUACACCUCGCUUUGGAGCGGUUGGCGUCGCCCGCCGGACGAACCUUCUGAACUUUUCUCAAGGUUGACCUCGGAUCAG